CGCACAGUGGCUUGUUGGUUAGCACGUUCGCCUCACAACUGCAGGGUCCUGGGUUCAAGUCCCGACAGGGCCG